ensembl:lncRNA
GCUACAUGUACACCUCUCGGUUGUUGAAUUUGUGCGCGAGUACUUUUAUCAUGCCAGCUGAAGGUUCAUUUUUGCGCGUGUGAAAUAACAUAAUGUGCUCGUGAGCAUGUCUUACACGCUCAUAACUUUUGACUAAAAAAUAACGCCAUAUAUGUUCCAAAAUAUUUUUAAUUUACCCCAAAAUCUUCAAAAUGUAUGGCAGAUGACACAUACUUGUACAAAAUACGAAAUACUAAACUAGAGAUUGGCUCCAUCAGCGGAAAAAAACAAAACAAAAAAACAUUCACACAAAAUAUGUUUUUCACAACAUUACUUUAUUUACGGGGAGUUACCGUGUAGCUCAUUAGAAAGCGAUACAUUUAGGCAGACAAAUGCACAGAAAUCCAUCUGCAUUCAUGACAUUUCUAAGAACAUCAUUUAUAAUGACUAACCAGAUCACUUGCUAAUGAUCCCCUUGCCACACAACCAAGAAAACAAUAAGUGCUCAAUAGAAUAUGAUGUCCUUUGAUGUUGUGUCGCAUCUAUUGGGCUUCAUUUCUGGCUAGAUCUUAAUAGGUCCUUUGAUAAAGACCUUGUUCUGCAUGAGAUCAUGUCUCAAUACAGGUACGUUACCUACGGUAUGUUGUGUAACUUUUGUUCAACAGCACUGCGAUAACACCUGUGCGUGAAAUUCAGCAGUGUGUCAUAUUGUGUAUUGUUAGUAAGAUAUCUGAACCAGUGGAUUCAACCAAGUCAGCACAACCUGCAGAACCAGUGUGCCUGUGAAACCUAUUCUGGUGAACAUGUCAUCUCGCUCUGAUCACACUCUCUAUGGCUGAGCGGCGUUGAUGUGGCAUCAAAAUGAGGUAAAAGAACAUCAAAAAAGAAAGAAAAAAAAAACAGUGGGCUUUUACCUCUAACCCUGAUCCGCUGCUCCAGAAACCUUCUGCUAGUUUUACUGGAGAGCUAUUUGGACCAAGCAGCUAUAGUCUGAAUAUUAUCUUUACAACAAAUACACUUGGGCUUCAAAAGGGCGAGACCUCCCUGUAAAUAUGUGAGCAACAUGCAUCCAUUAGUACAUCAACAAAAUGCCCAUCCAGCCCAUUCUCUGUUUGUAUCUUAAUGGAUUGUUGACUACUGUAGACAUUUUGCAGAAACAGUCAGUCCUGCAUUGGAGUCAUGUGCGUUGCUCGGUGGCACAAUGGUGAAUCAGGACGAUUGUGAUCACAGAAAAAACUGGCUCACAUCGUCCAACCUCUGGACCAGCAGCUCUCAUGAGGGAUCACCUCUCCAUGAACAUUUCGUUCUUCUCUCCAUGGUUUCUUCAGGGUUGCACAAACAGACAGGAAAGCAGAGCCGUUCUGAAGAAAAGCGAUGGUGCUGCCACUGCACAGCGGAAAAGUUGCGAGUUCCAUCGUUUUCCAUGGAGGAGUCAUUGUCUACGUGUCAAGCUUGCCAUGGACACACAUGGCGUGGGAGAUACUUGGGUUGUGACAUUUGUCACAACUGAAGCUGUGUGAUUGCUUUGGCUGCUGCUGGCUUGUAUCAGCAAUUGCACACAGUUUGUUUGAUCCAGCGUGCUAUUGGGUCUUUCUCAACACUGGCUGCAUCAAGGUCUGGAGCAGUUGUUUACCCUUGGCAGCAGACACUUACUCCAGCACCUCCAUCAUCUUCUUCAUCAUCGUCGUCGUCAUCCCCCUCAUCACUCUCCUCGGAUAAGAUCUGUUGAUGGAGAACAAACGCUGUUGCUCAGAUAGAUACACUGUUAUAAAAUAUUGACUUUAUAUUUUAACUUAAUGAGUUAUCUUUUUGCUUUGACUCAGUCACAUUUAAUUUACCUAGAAUGUCACGUUUUGUUGGUGCAAUUAAAUUUUACUGACCAAGAGACUUUUUUAAAGUGGAUUUAUCAAGUUUAGUUGGAAUAUCUUUAUAAAAGUAAGGACAGUACCAAAAUUAAUGUUCAUUCAACCUACUUUUGCUUAUUUUCUUAGUUCAACCAAAUAUAAUAAUUAAUUUAUUUCAGUUGUUCAUUACAACCAUGUCAAAAUAAAACACACCUUAUAUAACACACUUUAUUGUCAAUUUAACAACGUGACAGACCAAAACAGGACAGAACAAAUCUCAUUUUCAAACAUUCAGUUCUACACUUGAAUGUUUUUGAAAAACAAUUCAUUCUGUAGUUUUAAAAAUGGAUUAAAUAAAUAUAAAAAUAAGAGCAGGUUGCAGAAUGUUGCACAAUUAAGUACAAUACAGAAUGUUUUAUUUCAUUUAGGACUGUGGAUUGAAGAAAACAAUGCAAUGCAUAUUUAUGAACCUUAAAUGUCUUAUUUUUAUUUAUGCUGUGACAGUUAUGGGGUGCAUUUUCUCAUCUAAUAAAUAGCUACUUGACUAAUAAAUAAAUGGUGAUAUUGAUUUAAGUUAUUUUAUUAUUUUACUUGCAGAUUAUCAGUUUAUAUAUCGCAAGUAUGUUUGAGUUAUCCACCCAUCUUUACCCUGAGGAAUCUGGCACACCCUCUUACAUAAACACAUUCUACACAGAGGUGGGGUGAAUAUUAAACAAUAGUCUGAACUUGGAGCUUAAGGUAACAUGCACAAACUAAGUGUUAACUUAAAAUACAGUAUAGUUAAACUUUCUGUGUCUCCGCUAUAAUAUGAUAGCAGAUGCCCUUAGCAUAGUGUCAGUUAUUCCUACAAGACACAUUAGUGCAUAUGUCCUUAAAUGUAUUUCAUCUGCCGUGACACUUGCAAUAGCAUUAUCUGUCUAUUAUCCUCAAUCUAUCUAUCUAUAAAUCUAUCUAAAGCUGAGUUAAUACAUACAUUAAAGAUUUAGAUUAAGUGAUAUUUAUUGCAACAUCAUGUCAAACCUAAAAUCAUACUUAAAUGUGCGAUUCGAAAUAGCUGCUGAAAUGAAAAAGUUAAAUUUAAGGAUGAUAAUAUAAUUAAAAAAAAUACAAACUUCUGCUUCAUCUUAAACAUCAUUGCAUAUCACUACAAAAAGUGUUUUCACAUAAAUAUGGACUCACACAAAUCAUAAAAAAUGUGCAUACUUGCUAGUUUGCAAUAAUAAUAAUAACAUUUUUACCAUAUACUUAUAAUUUUCUUGAAGGGGAUAAUUAAUAAUAAUAAAAACUUACCAUGCUGAUGAUUUGUUUAAGGUUCAGAGCAGAGUAGUGCAGUUAAUGUGAAGUGGAUCUUCAUUCGUUAUUUAUACUCUUCCUACAGAAACUGCUCACACUUCCUCAAAGAACAUAACUGCAGCAGCCAAUCCGGUGCAGACACAUUAGAGGAAAUAUUUCCACAGAAACGAAAGUGAAAGUUAAACUUUACUUGUGGGGAAUUUCAGAUGUUCUCAGUUAUAUAAAUUAUCAUGUUACAAUUCAGAUACAAAAAGUUUAAGCCCUAUUAUAGUGUGAUUAGAAAAGAUAGUCUUGUGUCAGGAAUGACAGUGACACAUACUGUAGAAGGAAGUUUUGAUCAUGUUUGGCCUCUUGGUUAUACUUACGUCAAAUAUAUGCAAUGCUUUUGAUUGUUUUGUACAAAACUUUAUAUAUUUUAUACAUCUGGCAGCAAUUACAAAAUUCAAUUUGCUGACAUUCGUAAACUACAUUAAGUUAACACAAACUAGCAGUGAUAAAUACAUCUAAAACAAUAAUCAGUAUAGUUGUUUGUUUGUUUGUUUGUGUUUAACGCCACGCCAGCUUCUGUGGUCAUUUUCAUGGCAAGAAAAUUUAUGGCUGAAUUGUAUUAAUCCUAGUUAAUUUAAAUUUCAACAUUUACUUCAUUAUUAAAAUCAUGAGUUGUAUAUGAAGACUAAUGCUAACAAAGAUCAAUGAACACUGUAACAAAUGUAUUGCUCUUUCUUAAUUAAUGGGACCUUAUUGUAAUGUGUUAUCAAACUUACUUAUAUAUUCUUUGUUUCACCAAUGAUUAAUUUUUUUUAUUUUUAUACAGUGUCUAAACAAUCUUUCAGUGGCCUGUGUAAGAAGUGCUACGGUUAAUAAAAUCAUCAUCAAUCAUUGGCAGAUAAACAAAAAUAGACACAACACAAUAUGAAUUUCUGUUGCAGAUUUUACUAUUUUUAUUUAGAAUUUUAUUUUUUUUGUACUUUUUUUCUGGGGCUUUUUUUUCAGGUUUUUCCAUUUUUAUUGAUUUUUCUGGGAAGAAUUGCGCUCAGCCUUCAUAAAAUAAAAUAAAAUAAAAAACUGGUUGUUUUUACAGCAGGCCAUCCCCAUAGCCUGCCAACCAAGCAACAGACAACCAGAAGCCGACCAAAGGGGGGGGGGGGGGGAAUUGGGGGGAUGGGGUUAAGGGUAGUAGUCGGCUUCAGUUUUCUUGUUUGUUUGUUUUGGUUGCUUCUAGUUUUCUGGUGCUUCGUCAGCGGGUCAUAGACCUGGCGCUGUUCACUGCAGGUCCACUGGACCCCGGCCAGAGAUCCAGUGUUGCCAGAGAAUGCUCCAGAACAGGGCAGCGGACCCGAGUGCCCGAAUCCCUUGGCAGUUGGGUUCUCCUCCUCUCCUCCUCAAAAUCUAUGAAAUAAACAUAUUAUUAUAUCUAAAGUUAAAAGAUACAGGACUGAUCUAAUAAUAAUAAUUAGUAUUAUCAUAAUAAUAAUUCAGUGUGAAAGAUACUUACAAAAUAAUAAAUGCAAGCAUCGAAAGAGAUCCUUAGGCAGCGUUACGUCACAACUCGUGUGCAGUCAUCUAGUGACAGCUAAAAUUGAAAAAGAAAACUUAAUAUAACCACUUAUUAACAGACUCCAAACUACCUUCUGAGAAAACAAAUCGCAAUAUAAUCCCCUAGAUAAAUCUGCGAACAUGAUGAUCAAAAAUGUAUCUAUCAAGUAGGAGAUGUUUUUUCUAUUUAAUCAGAUGAGACUACGGUAAAACUAGGUCUAAUUCUCACUUGUUAGCAGACAAAAAUGGAUUGUACAUUUUAUUAGACAAAUGGGUGGAGGUGUUAUUCAUUAUAGGCUACGUUACACAACCACAACUUCCUUAUUUUUCAUAGCUAGCAAAGAGAUCACAGAAAAAGAGGCUUUUUUUAAGUAUGCGAUUAUUACUGCUGUAAGUUUUAAAAAGCAAAUAAACAGACAGGAUCACUCACCAGACUGCACACUAG